AAAAAUCCAUGUUGUUGAGCUAGGCAUGGUUGUGGGUCUGAAGUGCCAGCUACUUGGUAGAUUAGUUGGUAGAUUUCCCCAAAUGUGGGAAGCUCAACUGAAUAAUUUGUGGUAGUGGGGGACUGCGUUCGUGCUUCCCCUGA
ensembl:snRNA U1 U1 spliceosomal RNA